AGAACGAACGCUGGCGGCAUGCCUAACACAUGCAAGUCGAACGUGAUCCAGGCUUCGGCCUGGUGAAAGUGGCAGGCGGGUGAGUAACGCGUGGGAACCUGCCCUGUGGUAGGGAAUAACCGUGGGAAACUGCGGCUAAUACCCUAUGAGUCCUUCGGGAGAAAGAUUUAUCGCCAUAGGAGGGGCCCGCGUCGGAUUAGGUAGUUGGUGGGGUAACGGCCUACCAAGCCUUCGAUCCGUAGCUGGUCUGAGAGGAUGAUCAGCCACACUGGGACUGAGAUACGGCCCAGACUCCUACGGGAGGCAGCAGUGGGGAAUAUUGGACAAUGGGGGGCAACCCUGAUCCAGCAAUGCCGCGUGGAUGAUGAAGGCCUUCGGGUUGUAAAGUCCUUUCGGCGGGGAAGAUGAUGACGGUACCCGCAGAAGAAGCCCCGGCUAACUUCGUGCCAGCAGCCGC
rnacentral:rRNA from 1 species